CACGUAGGGGGCAAGCGUUGUCCGGAUUCAUUGGGCGUAAAGAGCUCGUAGGCGGUUCGAUAAGUCGGGUGUGAAACCUCCAGGCUCAACCUGGAGACGCCACCCGAUACUGUCGUGACUAGAGUCCAGUAGGGGAGCGUGGAAUUCCUGGUGGAGCGGUGAAAUGCGCAGAUAUCGGGAGGAACACCGGUGGCGAAGGCGGGUCUCUGGGCCGAUACUGACGCUGAGGAGCGAAAGCGUGGGGAGCGAACAGG
rnacentral:rRNA from 1 species